rnacentral:rRNA from 1 species
CACGUAGGGGGCGAGCGUUGUUCGGAAUCAUUGGGCGUAAAGGGCGUGCAGGCGGCCGCCAAAGUCCGGCGUGAAAGACCCAGGCUCAACCUGGGGGGUGCGCCGGAUACUGGGCGGCUUGAGUACAGGAGGGGACGGCGGAAUUCCAGGUGUAGGGGUGAAAUCUGUAGAUAUCUGGAGGAACACCGAUGGCGAAGGCAGCCGUCUGGCCAUGUACUGACGCUGAGGCGCGAAGGUGCGGGGAGCAAACAGGUUUAGAUACCCUGGUAGUCCGCACAGUAAACGAUGUGCACCAGGCGGCGGGGGCAACCUCGCUGCCGCAGUUAACGCAUUAAGUGCACCGCCUGGGGAGUAUGCCCGCAAGGGUGAAACUCAAAGGAAUUGACGGGGGCCCGCACAAGCGGUGGAGCAUGUGGUUUAAUUCGAUGAUACGCGAGAAACCUUACCAGGGCUUGACAUGCGCCGGGAGCGCGCCGAAAGGCGUGCGCCCCUCGGGGCCGGCGCACAGGUGCUGCAUGGCU